CUUGUGCCAGCAGCCGCGGUAAUACGAAGGGGGCUAGCGUUGUUCGGAUUUACUGGGCGUAAAGCGCACGUAGGCGGACUAUUAAGUCAGGGGUGAAAUCCCGGGGCUCAACCCCGGAACUGCCUUUGAUACUGGUAGUCUCGAGUCCGGAAGAGGUGAGUGGAAUUCCGAGUGUAGAGGUGAAAUUCGUAGAUAUUCGGAGGAACACCAGUGGCGAAGGCGGCUCACUGGUCCGGUACUGACGCUGAGGUGCGAAAGCGUGGGGAGCAAACAGGA
rnacentral:rRNA from 1 species